CGCGGCCUAUCAGCUUGUUGGUGGGGUGAUGGCCUACCAAGGCUUCGACGGGUAGCCGGCCUGAGAGGGUGACCGGCCACACUGGGACUGAGACACGGCCCAGACUCCUACGGGAGGCAGCAGUGGGGAAUAUUGGACAAUGGGCGAAAGCCUGAUCCAGCAACGCCGCGUGAGGGAUGACGGCCUUCGGGUUGUAAACCUCUUUCAGCGCAGACGAAGCGAAAGUGACGGUAUGCGCAGAAGAAGCACCGGCCAACUACGUGCCAGCAGCCGCGGUAAUACGUAGGGUGCGAGCGUUGUCCGGAAUUAUUGGGCGUAAAGGGCUCGUAGGCGGUCUGUUGCGUCAGGAGUGAAAACUCGGGGCUUAACCCCGAGCCUGCUUCUGAUACGGGCAGACUAGAGGUAUGCAGGGGAGAACGGAAUUCCUGGUGUAGCGGUGAAAUGCGCAGAUAUCAGGAGGAACACCGGUGGCGAAGGCGGUUCUCUGGGCAUUACCUGACGCUGAGGAGCGAAAGUGUGGGGAGCGAACAGGAUUAGAUACCCUGGUAGUCCACACCGUAAACGUUGGGCGCUAGGUGUGGGACUCAUUCCACGAGUUCCGUGCCGCAGCUAACGCAUUAAGCGCCCC
rnacentral:rRNA from 1 species